CAAACGGGUGAGUAACACGUAAACAACCUGCCUUCAGGAUGGGGACAACAGACGGAAACGACUGCUAAUACCGAAUAAGUUCCAAGGGCCGCAUGGCCCAUGGAAGAAAAGGUGGCCUCUACCUGUAAGCUAUCGCCUGAAGAGGGGUUUGCGUCUGAUUAGCUGGUUGGAGGGGUAACGGCCCACCAAGGCGACGACGGGUAGCCGGUCUGAGAGGACGGCCGGCCACAGGGGCACUGAGACACGGGCCCC
rnacentral:rRNA from 1 species